AAAAACAAAAAUGACCUGUUACAGAAAUCCUGCUCGGAAUGCACAAGAAGAACAGAUUCGUUACAUGUUGUCAAGAGGAAGUACAUCAGGUCAAAUGAAAACUCUGAGACUCUUAGUCUAGAAAACACAUCACGCUCUGUCUUCGACGAGGCAAAUGCUAUUGGUGAUAAGGUGGAACGAAAUAAUAUCAAUUCUACAUCAGCGAUAACGGUCACCCAAAGCCGAAUCAAUGCAGUCGGGAAGAAUCAAAAGGACAGACGUCAUUCUGGGACAGAUAUCGUGGCAUUCUUUGCAGCGCUAACCAAUGACGUUCGAAAUCUUGGUGUAGGUCAGAACGUAAAAUUUGAUCACGUAAUAACCAACAUCGGCGCAGAAUAUAACCCUCAUGCUGGCGCAUUCUUUGCUCCAGUGUCUGGUACUUACGUAUUCAUGGCAACAUUAUUGUCAUAAUCAUGGACACAACGGCGAUUUUCAAGUGGUCCACAAUGGGAAUAUGGUAUGUAAGCUGUAUGUUGCUGGUGCUGCGGGUACAACAUGGGAUACCAGCGCUGGAAGCUUUGUCCUGUAUCUAGAAAAAGGCGACAUGGUAAUCAUACAGAAUUCGCACUCAGUCGAAGGACUUUCGGGAGACCAUUGUUCAUUCUUCUCAGGAUUUCUCUUGAAAGAAAUGGAACACAAUCCAUCAGUUGUUGGAUAACUGUGUUGUAUGAAUUAACAAAUAAAAUCUAUGAUAAGAUAAUGUGUCGUUUUAAUUUUGUAUGAUUUUAAAUAGAAUUCAUAGAGAAUACUAUGUUAGUGUGGUUGUUUACUUAAAUUUAUCCCACGAGUGAAGAAAUGUUUACAUGGCGAGGCUUGUCGAGCCUUGUAUACCUUUCUGAGACGAGUGGGAUAAAUUUAAGUACACAAUCACACUUACAUAAUAUUCUAUGUAUCCUACACUAUGUUUUUUAUUUAAUUUAUUGAUGAUGCAUUCAAAACAGUAGUAUUUAAUUGAUAAAAUAAAAGCAAAAACACAUUACAUUAACUGAAUCUAAUAUUAAGUAGUAAUAUAAAUUGGGUGGUCUUUCUCGUUUACGGAGCUCGAAAUAAUACUUACGAAUUCCACGCAAAAGAAGAGUAACGAGUCUAAAUAUCGCUACACGCCUCGAUUCAAAUGUAAUCAGCGUCCCAAAUGUUACACACUCAAGUAGAACACAGACGGUUGUGUUCAAAAUACAAUUAUUGUAAUAUUUCACCACUAUUUAAUACCAAAAACAAAAAUGGUUGCAAUUUUGAAAUUUACAAAAUGUGUAGAAAUCUACAUGAAGCAUGAAUCAGCCUUUAUCCCCGCCGAUAUUGUUAUUUUUUGUCUAUAAACAACUCUUCUUUUUAAACACAUUUUACUUACUAACAUAAACAAGUAAAAUAUC